UUACAGAGCACAUACACUAAAACUGGAACAAUACAGAGAUUAGCAUGGCCCCUGUGCAAGGAUGAGAUGCAAAUUUGCAGUAUUCCAUAGUUUU
rnacentral:snRNA from 1 species